rnacentral:lncRNA from 1 species
GGGGACACAGACAUUCUGUCUAGCAGUUCCCACGUGAGCCUCUGUUUCCUUGAGCUUUACCACAAGUGAACUCAACUUGGGAGCUUCCCACCAGCUGGAGAGCUCCUUACUGAACUGCAGCGGGCUUCCUCAGACGGAAGAAAAACACUCUGCAACACCCGAGGAGGACAAGGAGAAACUGAGGCAGCAUGAGUUAGGGAUGGUGGGGGAGUAUUCUUGCAUCAACAGGGGCUGGAGCAGAAGACCCCUGAGGUCCCUUCCAGUCCUGCCAGCGCUUGCUGCUUUUGGAUGUCAGCCUCUGGAAAACCAUAGCAGGGAUUCCUCACACACCAGGCAGUGUGAGAGACUCUGCAGCAUCUCACUGAGGUGUAGAAACGACCCAUAAAGUAGGUUUCUCGGAUCUACAUGUCCCCAUGGAAACUGCACGGUGUACUCCCAGGGCAGCAGUUCACAGAGG